rnacentral:rRNA from 1 species
UACAGAGGGGGCAAGCGUUAUUCGGAAUUAUUGGGCGUAAAGGGCGCGUAGGCGGCUUUGCAAGUGACGGGUGAAAUCCCCCGGCUUAACCGGGGAACUGCGUCCGAUACUGGAUGGCUUGAGUUUGGGAGAGGGAUGCGGAAUUCCAGGUGUAGCGGUGAAAUGCGUAGAUAUCUGGAGGAACACCGGUGGCGAAGGCGGCAUCCUGGACCAACACUGACGCUGAUGAGCGAAAGCCAGGGGAGCAAACGGG